CGCAAAUAUAUAAUUAUAAGAACAAGUUUAUAUACAAUAUACGAUAAAAUUUAAUUGUACAUCAGUACACUGUCACUGGCUUCGACUCUCUCGCUUUGACGGAGUCGCCCCUACCGCCUAAACUCACUAAACUACCUAUUAUUUGGUGCAAUAUCUUAAGCAGCGGAACCAGGGGGGUGGGGGCUAGGAGGGCUAUACUUCAAAGUAGAAGUGAUAGUGGGAAGUACGUUUUGGUUGCCGAAGUAGUAUACCGCAACCCAGCGGGCAAAAUGACGUUUAUCCAACGUUGAAUCAACGUUGGAAAUGACCUUCCAGACGCUGGAUAGACGUUGAAAAAGGGUUGACUAUGCAAAUUGGAUCGACGUUACUGUUUCGACGUUGAAACAACGUUGAAAUUAGGUUGCCAAUCUCGUCAACCAUAAUUCAACGUUGAAUCCACGUUAAAACAACGUUGAGAUUGGUUCACAAAUCGACGUCGUACAU